rnacentral:rRNA from 1 species
UACGUAGGGUGCGAGCGUUGUCCGGAAUUAUUGGGCGUAAAGAGCUUGUAGGCGGUUUGUCGCGUCUGCUGUGAAAAUCCGGGGCUCAACCCCGGACUUGCAGUGGGUACGGGCAGACUAGAGUGUGGUAGGGGAGACUGGAAUUCCUGGUGUAGCGGUGAAAUGCGCAGAUAUCAGGAGGAACACCGAUGGCGAAGGCAGGUCUCUGGGCCACUACUGACGCUG